rnacentral:rRNA from 1 species
AGAGUUUGAUCAUGGCUCAGAACGAACGCUGGCGGCGUGGAUAAGACAUGCAAGUCGAACGCUAAUUUCAGGGUAGCAAUAUUCUGAGGUUGGAGUGGCGCAAGGGUGCGUAACACGUGGGUAAUUUGCCGUGAAGUUGGGGAUAACUCGCUGAAAGGCGAGCUAAUACCGAAUGUGAUAAUUGGAAGGCAUCUUUUGAUUAUCAAAGUUGGGGACCGUAAGGCCUGACGCUUCACGAUAAGCCCGCGGCCUAUCAGCUAGUUGGUGAGGUAAUGGCUCACCAAGGCUAAGACGGGUAGCUGGUCUGAGAGGACGACCAGUCACACUGGAACUGAGACACGGUCCAGACACCUACGGGUGGCAGCAGUCGAGAAUUUUUCUCAAUGGGCGAAAGCCUGAAGGAGCGACGCCGCGUGGGGGAUGAAGGGCUUCGGCUCGUAAACCCCUGUCAUUUGCGAACAAACCUUACGAUUUAAUAGAUCGUGAGCUGAUUGUAGCGAAAGAGGAAGGGACGGCUAACUCUGUGCCAGCAGCCGCGGUAAUACAGAGGUCCCAAGCGUUGUUCGGAUUCACUGGGCGUAAAGGGUGCGUAGGUGGCAGGGUAAGUUUGAUGUGAAAUCUCCGAGCUUAACUCGGAAACUGCAUUGAAUACUAUCCUGCUCGAGGUUUGGAGGGGGGACUGGAAUUCUCGGUGUAGCAGUGAAAUGCGUAGAUAUCGAGAGGAACACCAGUGGCGAAGGCGAGUCCCUGGACAACACCUGACACUGAGGCACGAAAGCUAGGGGAGCAAACAGGAUUAGAUACCCUAGUAGUCC